GACGAACGCUGGCGGCGUGCCUAAUACAUGCAAGUUGAGCGAUGAAGAUUGGUGCUUGCACCAAUUUGAAGAGCGGCGAACGGGUGAGUAACGCGUGGGGAAUCUGCCUUUGAGCGGGGGACAACAUUUGGAAACGAAUGCUAAUACCGCAUAACAACUUUAAACAUAAGUUUUAAGUUUGAAAGAUGCAAUUGCAUCACUCAAAGAUGAUCCCGCGUUGUAUUAGCUAGUUGGUGAGGUAAAGGCUCACCAAGGCGAUGAUACAUAGCCGACCUGAGAGGGUGAUCGGCCACAUUGGGACUGAGACACGGCCCAAACUCCUACGGGAGGCAGCAGUAGGGAAUCUUCGGCAAUGGACGAAAGUCUGACCGAGCAACGCCGCGUGAGUGAAGAAGGGUUUCGGAUCGUAAAACUCUGUUGGUAGAGAAGAACGUUGGUGAGAGUGGAAAGCUCAUCAAGUGACGGUAACUACCCAGAAAGGGACGGCUAACUACGUG
rnacentral:rRNA from 1 species